rnacentral:rRNA from 1 species
UUGAACGCUGGCGGCCUGCUUUACACCUGCCAGUCGAACGGCAGCGCGGGCUUCGGCCUGGCGGCGAGUGGCGAACGGGUGAGUAAUACAUCGGAACGUGCCCAGUAGUGGGGGAUAGCUCGGCGAAAGCCGGAUUAAUACCGCAUACGACCUGAGGGUGAAAGCGGGGGAUCUUCGGACCUCGCGCUAUUGGAGCGGCCGAUGGCAGAUUAGCUAGUUGGUGGGGUAAAGGCCUACCAAGGCGACGAUCUGUAGCUGGUCUGAGAGGACGACCAGCCACACUGGGACUGAGACACGGCCCAGACUCCUACGGGAGGCAGCAGUGGGGAAUUUUGGACAAUGGGCGAAAGCCUGAUCCAGCAAUGCCGCGUGUGUGAUGAAGGCCUUCGGGUUGUAAAGCACUUUUGGCGGGAACGAAAAGGACUGUGCCAAUACCACGGUUCGAUGACGGUACCCGCAGAAUAAGCACCGGCUAACUACGUG